UGCGGAAGGAUCAUUAAAGAGUAAGGGUGCUCAGCGCCCGACCUCCAACCCUUUGUUGUUAAAACUACCUUGUUGCUUUGGCGGGACCGCUCGGUCUCGAGCCGCUGGGGAUUCGUCCCAGGCGAGCGCCCGCCAGAGUUAAACCAAACUCUUGUUAUUAAACCGGUCGUCUGAGUUAAAAUUUUGAAUAAAUCAAAACUUUCAACAACGGAUCUCUUGGUUCUCGCAUCGAUGAAGAACGCAGCGAAAUGCGAUAAGUAAUGUGAAUUGCAGAAUUCAGUGAAUCAUCGAAUCUUUGAACGCACAUUGCGCCCCUUGGUAUUCCGAGGGGCAUGCCUGUUCGAGCGUCAUUACACCACUCAAGCUAUGCUUGGUAUUGGGUGCCGUCCUUAGUUGGGCGCGCCUUAAAGACCUCGGCGAGGCCUCACCGGCUUUAGGCGUAGUAGAAUUUAUUCGAACGUCUGUCAAAGGAGAGGACUUCUGCCGACUGAAACCUUUUAUUUUUCUAGGUUGACCUCGGAUCAGGUAGGGAUACCCGCUGAACUUAA
rnacentral:misc_RNA from 1 species